GUGCCUGAGGAACCCCUAAUGGGGAGGGGAGGAGUGGUUGGCUGUCGGCUCCAUUCAAUGGGCUUAUUAUUGCCCCUAGAUCCUCAGGCUUGGAGACUAAGGAAGACCCUAGUGAGCACAGUACGCGUGCUGACUGAUAGUUCAUUCACACUUUCGUUUCCUAGGUGCCACAGCGUGCGUUGCUGAUGAACAGGGGCAUCUGAAAGUCUGUUGGUAGUCUAUGACCUCUGACAGCUGCAGAUACAAUGAUGCAGAUGCACCUAUGAACUCACAGCGACUUUGACAGCAUGCAAAACACCCGAGCAAGCUCAAGCCAGACAACCCCAGCACAGAAUGGAGGAGGUUUGGGAGACACACCCACCCCUCUGAGCAUGUCUGCAAUGGUGUCCAGAGAAGACUUUCUAAGGAAGAAGGACCUACUCUGCCUGUGAACAGCACCAGUCUGUAGGCUGACUAAAAAGAAGAAAGCCAUUUUCCCCUUGAGCGGAGCACCAGCUUUGUUCUUCCUCUGUCCAGAUGGGAGAAAGACCCUGCUGCCUUCCCAUGGGUGUGAUGGGACGAGCCCUGAAUUGCAAGAGCGAAGUUAAAAGCAUCUUCUGGGGACAAGAUGUCUCUCCUCUUUGCUCCUCAGCCAGCAUCUCUGAAGAGAAGUCAUGGUCCAUUACCAAAGUGGAAAAUCUUCACAGCUGCUGCUCUGAGGAACAAUCAACUAAGAAGAAGCACAGCCCAGUGGAAGGAACCUUAAGCCAGUGGUGCAAUCCAACUCUGCCAUUCAUGAGCUGAGCCAGUCUCUCAACCUCUCCUGACUUCCUUUUCCAUAUGCACUUAGUGACAAAGGUGGAGAGGCAUAGUGACAGGGGUCUGGAUGAAAGGGUGAGGGUCCUGAGAUGACAGAAGACAGUUUUUAACAGGAAUCACUGUGAAAGGUGAUGGGCAGGUAUUGCAAAGAGUGCCUUCCAAAUGAGGCAGUCUGAGGAGAUCU
ensembl:lncRNA